UGGGGAAUUUUGCACAAUGGGGGAAACCCUGAUGCAGCGACGCCGCGUGAUUUAGAAGGCCUUCGGGUUGUAAAAAUCUUUUCUAUGGGAAGAAAAUGACAGUACCAUAGGAAUAAGGACCGGCUAAUUACGUGCCAGCAGCCGCGGUAAUACGUAAGGUCCGAGCGUUGUCCGGAAUCAUUGGGCGUAAAGGGUACGUAGGCGGGUAAGCAAGUUAGAAGUGAAAUCCUAUAGCUCAACUAUAGUAAGCUUUUAAAACUGCUCAUCUUUAGGUAUGGAAGAGAAAGUGGAAUUCCUAGUGUAGCGGUGAAAUGCGCAGAUAUUAGGAGGAAUACCGGUGGCGAAGGCGACUUUCUGGCCAUAACCUGACGCUGAGGUACGAAAGCGUGGGUAGCAAGCAGG
rnacentral:rRNA from 1 species